rnacentral:rRNA from 1 species
UAGAACUGUUUUAUUCCUUAUGUGUAGCCUAAUCGUAUUGGAUCUCAGAAGCUAAGCAAGGAUGGGUCUGGAUAGUACUGGGAUGGGAGACCUCUAAGGAAAAUCGGGCACUUUUCUCA